GAUGAAGAACGUAGCGAAAUGCGAUAAGUAGUGUGAAUUGCAGAAUUCAGUGAAUCAUCGAAUCUUUGAACGCACAAUGCGCCCCUUGGUAUUCCAUGGGGCAUGCCUGUUCGAGCGUCAUUUGUACCUUCAAGCUUUGCUUGGUGUUGGGUGUUUGUCUCGCCUCUGCGUGUAGACUCGCCUUAAAACAAUUGGCAGCCGGCGUAUUGAUUUCGGAGCGCAGUACAUCUCGCGCUUUGCACUCAUAACGACGACGUCCAAAAGUACAUUUUUACACUCUUGACCUCGGAUCAGGUAGGGAUACCCGCUGAACUUAAGCAUAUCAAUAAGCGGAGGA
rnacentral:misc_RNA from 1 species